rnacentral:lncRNA from 1 species
UGACAAUGACGAGAACAACGAUAAGAAUGAUAACAACAACAAUGACAACAGCGACAUAACGACAACAACGACAAUAACGACAACGACAACAACAACAACAACAACAACAACAACAACAAUAACAAUAACAACAACAACAACAAUACAAACAACAACAACCACAACGACAAACACGAUGACGACAACGACGACGACAACAACGACAACAACAACGACAACGACAAUGUAG